AUUGAACGCUGGCGGCAGGCCUAACACAUGCAAGUCGAGCGAGCGGCGGACGGGUGAGUAAUGUAUGGGGACUGCCCGAUAGAGGGGGAUAACUACUGGAAACGGUGGCUAAUACCGCAUACUAUCGGAUAACCCAUAUGGGAUUAGCUAGUGGGUGGGGUAAAGGCUCACCUAGGCGACGAUCUCUGGCUGGUCUGAGAGGAGGACACGGAGCGCUGGGACUGGGAUCAGGCCCAAACUCCUACGGCGGCAGCGGUUGGCAAUAUGGGACAAUGGGGAAAAGCCGGAGAGAGCCAUGCAGCGUGGAUGAAAGAGACCUUAGGAUAGUAAAGUACUUUCAGCGGGGUGGCGUUACCCGCAGAAGAAGCACCGGCUAACUCCGAGCCAGCCGCCGCGGUAAUAC
rnacentral:rRNA from 1 species